rnacentral:rRNA from 1 species
AUGAACGCUGGCGGCGUGCCUAAUACCUGCCAGUCGCGCGAACAGACGAGGAGCUUGCUCCUCUGACGUUAGCGGCGGACGGGUGAGUAACACGUGGAUAACCUACCUAUAAGACUGGGAUAACUUCGGGAAACCGGAGCUAAUACCGGAUAAUAUAUUGAACCGCAUGGUUCAAUAGUGAAAGACGGUUUUGCUGUCACUUAUAGAUGGAUCCGCGCCGCAUUAGCUAGUUGGUAAGGUAACGGCUUACCAAGGCAACGAUGCGUAGCCGACCUGAGAGGGUGAUCGGCCACACUGGAACUGAGACACGGUCCAGACUCCUACGGGAGGCAGCAGUAGGGAAUCUUCCGCAAUGGGCGAAAGCCUGACGGAGCAACGCCGCGUGAGUGAUGAAGGUCCUCGGAUCGUAAAACUCUGUUAUUAGGGAAGAACAAAUGUGUAAGUAACUAUGCACGUCUUGACGGUACCUAAUCAGAAAGCCACGGCUAACUACGUG